UGAUAUAAUUUAGAUUUUUAGAAUAGUUUGGUUACCUGUUGKAAAUUCGAAAUUGAAAUUCAGAUGCAUAAAGUUCAGCUGCAAAUAGAGUUAAGAWACCAAAUAUCGUCGGUGUGGGUAGGAGCGCUACGCCGAAGAAGUCGCCAUGGAGAUGAGAGAUACUCCUCAUUCGCGUCACGAUCCGGACUCUAGAAGAAAGAAGAGGAUUAUUUGCAUUGUGGUUGUCGUUUUAGCCAUUGCCAUAAUAGUCAUUGCGACUUUAGUAAUAAAUUUCUGUUACCCAAACCUUUUCAAGAGAAAGGACAAAGAAAUAAAAUAUAGAUACGAAUAAAUGUAUUAGUGAAUCAUUCCGGACUGAAAAGGAAAUAAAGAGAGCAUAUUGGUUUUGUGUCUUGGUCUUUCCCCUAAAUAAAGAUUUCACAUUUUAUGCUUCAGAGAACUGAACGAGGYUGUUAUAUAAAUAUUCA